rnacentral:rRNA from 1 species
UACGGGGGGGCAAGCGUUGUUCGGAAUUACUGGGCGUAAAGGGCUCGUAGGCGGCCAACUAAGUCAGACGUGAAAUCCCUCGGCUUAACCGGGGAACUGCGUCUGAUACUGGUUGGCUUGAAUCCGGAGAGGGAUGUGGAAUUCCAGGUGUAGCGGUGAAAUGCGUAGAUAUCUGGAGGAACACCGGUGGCGAAGGCGGCAUCCUGGACCGGUAUUGACGCUGAGGAGCGAAAGCCAGGGGAGCAAACGGG